GAAUGUGAGGGUGAUUAAGUGGUGACACCUGUCACCCCAGCGAUUGACAGGGUUGAAUCAGAUGAUCUGACUGGCCAGAUGGUGUCGCUUUCCUCCCUCACAGCUCCAUGCUUACUCAGGUCAAAGACAAUGACCAUUGCUCACAGUGGAGGAAAGCCCUUCGGCAAAGGGUGUAAGAGUAGCUGUACUCCCCUGCUAGAACCUUCAAACGUUCUCUCAAAAUGCUGUGCUGAGCUUCUGGCAGCAGGAUCCCAUGAGGGUGGAGGAAGAUGUGGCUGAAAUGCAGUUUCCCAAGUCUCAUGCCACAGCCUGUGGAAUGGAAUUCAAUGGCUCUUGCG
rfam:Dipodomys ordii contig_52447, whole genome shotgun sequence.